CGCGUGGGGAAUCUACCUUUUAGUGGGGAAUAACGCUCCGAAAGGAGUGGUAAUACCGCAUGUGACCAUUGGCUGGGAUGCUGAUGGUGAAACCCUGGGACCUUCGGGCCAGGGGCUAGAAGAGGAUCCUGCGUCUGAUUAGCUAGUUGGCGGGGUAACGGCCCACCAAGGCGACGAUCAGUAGCCGGCCUGAGAGGGUGAUCGGCCACACUGGAACUGAGACACGGUCCAGACUCCUACGGGAGGCAGCAGUGGGGAAUAUUGCACAAUGGGCGCAAGCCUGAUGCAGCCAUGCCGCGUGUAUGAAGAAGGCCUUCGGGUUGUAAAGUACUUUCAGCGGGGAGGAAGGGAGUAAAGUUAAUACCUUUGCUCAUUGACGUUACCCGCAGAAGAAGCACCGGCUAACUCCGUG
rnacentral:rRNA from 1 species